UACGGAGGAUCCGAGCGUUAUCCGGAUUUAUUGGGUUUAAAGGGUGCGUAGGCGGCUUAUUAAGUCAGGGGUGAAAGACGGUGGCUCAACCAUCGCAGUGCCUUUGAUACUGAUGAGCUUGAAUACACUUGAGGUAGGCGGAAUGUGACAAGUAGCGGUGAAAUGCAUAGAUAUGUCACAGAACACCAAUUGCGAAGGCAGCUUACUAAGGUGCAAUUGACGCUGAGGCACGAAAGCGUGGGGAUCAAACAGG
rnacentral:rRNA from 1 species